rnacentral:rRNA from 1 species
AGUGAACGCUGGCGGUAGGCCUAACACAUGCAAGUCGAACGGCAGCACAGUAAGAGCUUGCUCUUACGGGUGGCGAGUGGCGGACGGGUGAGGAAUACAUCGGAAUCUACUUUUUCGUGGGGGAUAACGUAGGGAAACUUACGCUAGUACCGCAUACGACCUACGGGUGAAAGCAGGGGAUCUUCGGACCUUGCGCGAUUGAAUGAGCCGAUGUCGGAUUAGCUAGUUGGCGGGGUAAAGGCCCACCAAGGCGACGAUCCGUAGCUGGUCUGAGAGGAUGAUCAGCCACACUGGAACUGAGACACGGUCCAGACUCCUACGGGAGGCAGCAGUGGGGAAUAUUGGACAAUGGGCGCAAGCCUGAUCCAGCCAUACCGCGUGGGUGAAGAAGGCCUUCGGGUUGUAAAGCCCUUUUGUUGGGAAAGAAAAGAAGCAGGUUAAUACCCCGCUGUUCUGACGGUACCCAAAGAAUAAGCACCGGCUAACUUCGUG